GACGAACGCUGGCGGCGUGCUUAACACAUGCAAGUCGAACGGAAAGGCCCCCUUGUGGGGUACUCGAGUGGCGAACGGGUGAGUAACACGUGAGUAACCUACCCUUGCCUUUGGGAUAACUUCAGGAAACUGGGGCUAAUACCGGAUAGGAGCUCCUGCUGCAUGGUGGGGGUUGGAAAGUUUCGGCGGUUGGGGAUGGACUUGCGGCUUAUCAGCUUGUUGGUGGGGUAGUGGCUCACCAAGGCUUUGACGGGUAGCCGGCCUGAGAGGGUGACCGGCCACAUUGGGACUGAGAUACGGCCCAGACUCCUACGGGAGGCAGCAGUGGGGAAUAUUGCACAAUGGGCGGAAGCCUGAUGCAGCAACGCCGCGUGCGGGAUGACGACCUUCGGGUUGUAAACCGCUUUCGCCUGUGACGAAGCGUGAGUGACGGUAAUGGGUAAAGAAGCACCGGCUAACUACGUG
rnacentral:rRNA from 1 species